rnacentral:rRNA from 1 species
UGGGAACGUGCCUUUUGGUUCGGAACAACCCAGGGAAACUUGGGCUAAUACCGGAUAAGCCCUUACGGGGAAAGAUUUAUCGCCAAAAGAUCGGCCCGCGUCUGAUUAGCUAGUUGGUGGGGUAAUGGCCCACCAAGGCUACGAUCAGUAGCUGGUCUGAGAGGAUGAUCAGCCACACUGGGACUGAGACACGGCCCAGACUCCUACGGGAGGCAG